UUGUGUAUUUAGAUAACCGUAUUGCUUUUUAUUAUUUCUGUAGAUCAAUUUUGAAAUCAGAGUAUUGAGCAGUUUCUUUUUUAGACAGGAACUGUUUUUCAAUAAAAAUUGGCUAUUCAUGGAUGAAUUUCUGAAAUUGAUCUUUAAUAUGGGAAUACAUAUAUAUUUUUAGUGUUUAGGGAUGUGAAUAGAAAUGUUUCAGGAUGUCAUUCAAUCCGGAGGUCAAGUCGCUGUUUCAAAUGCCAUUUAUGUCCAUAUGUGUCUUAUGUCAGUUCUUGGUACUUGAGACGACAUAUGUUAUGCCAUACCCAGGAUAGACCUUUUGUGUGUGAUAUUUGUCAUAAAUCAUUCAAUCAAAAAGGAAACUUAAAAGUGCACAGAUUAACUCAUAUCCUUGGGAAAAGAUUCCAUAGAUCAUAAUUUUGGGUGCAAUACUAAAAUGGAAAGGGGGAAAAAAAAGUGAAAAUCGAAGUAGUAUUUUUCAACAUCUGCCAAGUUUUAAAGUUUUUGCCCUACAGUGGAAAAAGAGAUAACCAGAUGCACAAGGAACUUGUAUAUUUAUGUAUUUAUAUAUUGGCAUCUGCGGUAAAUGUCUCAACAAGUAAAAAUACUACUAAAUCAUGAUAAGCAACAUUGCUAAUUAACUCUAAUGUAGCUUGUAUAAAAAUAUUAUGCUGGUUAAUUACUUAUGAAGGUUAUUAUCAUGUGGAAAGAGAUUGUUUAUCAAGGAAAUAUCAUUGUGCUUUAUGUUCUUACACAACAAAUAAAAUUUCAAAUUACAAAAGUCAUGAACUAGCUCAUACUCAAGAACGCUCAUUUGUUUGCAAUAUUUGUUUGAAGCGAUUUAAUCAUAGGUCUAAUUUGAAAGCUCACUCUAGAAUACAUACUGGGGAAAAGCCAUAUUGUUGUGAUUUGUGCCAUCGGACAUUUACAUUUUGUUCAAGUUUUCGGAAGCAUAUGUUUAGGUGCCCUGGUUUGGUUGACUAAGUGGUGUUUAUUUUCCAGGGAUCUAUUCUUAUUAAUGGCUUAAGUUUUUGUCCAUGGAUGUACUAGUUAAACAUUUUAUUAAUACAGAAUCUAGUACUCAACCGUUUCUUAUAGUUAGAAAGAUAUAUUGUGAUUUGUUCUAUCGAAUAUUUAAACUCUAUCUGUUGUUAAAAGAACAAAAUGUUGCUUUUUGUGCUGUUUGCUCUAAAUAAUUAUAAAAUAAUAAAAACAUUACUAUAAAAAUUGUAGUAAUAUUGGGUUUUAACGAAAGUUUUCCGGCACCACAAAACAGUUCGCGUUGGCAUGUUUAAUCAUAUUUUGUCAAACGAUUUUUGGUAUUUGAAAGAAAGAGAUUUGUGUUAGAACAUUUUGUAAAAUUUGUUAAAAAAAAAGAUGAAGAAGUAUCGUUAUCACUGAGUACAAAGUGACUGAAAUGGAGCUAUCAUGCUACCAGAUUAGAACCAUCAUUUACUUCCAGUUCUGUAAGAAAAAAAGAUGGGGUAGAAUCUGUUCUGGUCUGUUUUUGGCAGAAUGCCACCAAAUCAUGUGUACAAUUUUAGGUACUAAUGUUGUAUCAUAUGACACUGAAAAUCUGAUGUCAAAAGUUCAAAAGCAAGGACUAUGAAGAAACAGAGCACUCUGGCCAGCCUACUGAUGUUGAUAAGGCCCACUUGCAAGAACUUGUGGAAGAUGAGUAUGUAACCACUCAAUAGCUUGCUAAGAAGAUAGACAUUAAUGCAAUGUCCAUUAGUUGUGCUAUGCAUCACAAAAAAAGUUCAAUUGCUGGGUGCCACAUAAGCCUACUGAAGCAGAUAAAGACAGUUGUGUUCGGGCCUGCACUGAUCUGCUCGAGUAUCAGUGCAGAGACAAAAUUAUGUAUCAGAUUGUCAGUUGUGAUGAAAAGUGGGUUUAUGUCAACAACACAGGCCGAAAAGGAGUUUCGUCUGUCCCAGUGAGCCCACCACAAAAUGCAGUUUGACUAACAAAAAGAUGAUGCUUUGUAUCUGGUGUGAUUUCUGUGGUAUUAUCCACAAAGAAUAUAUGGUGAAAGAUGAAACCCUCAAUAGUAAGGUGUACAGAGAAAUGCUAGUCCGUGUUGAUGCUGCUAUCAAGGAAAAACUUUGAAUUGAGUUCUGGUACAAAAAGGUAAUGUUCCAUCAAGAUUAUGCAAGACCACAUGCAUCUGCAUUCAUCGUCUGCACUCUAUACACACUCAAAUGGGAUCUUUUGCCAAACCCACCUUAUAGCCCUGACAUCGUUGCUUCAGACUCCUAUCUUUUUUCACACCUGCAACUACAUCUUGUUGGUGCUAUCUUCCAUUCCGCACAGGACAUCCGGAAUAAGGUUGAUAUGUUUUUGGACUCGGAGCCAGCCACCAAAUAUCUGGACUGAAGGCUUUGAAAGUUAUCAAAACAAUGGCAAAGAAUCAUAGACUUGGGUGGUGAUUACUGCCUGCAC
rnacentral:lncRNA from 1 species